GGGGCCGCCCCUCACCGCCCGCGGCCCCGGCAAGGCUCCGCCUCCCGCUCCCUCAGGAGCCCCGCGGGCGCCUGCCGCGCCACCUCACAGCGCUACGGCGCCGGGACCCUGCCAGAUACUUUAUUCCAGUGAGAAAACCGACAAAAAUCUGAGCAGAGCUCCCAGCUAACACCGUUAGGGAGCUGAAAGGAGGGGGUGUCCUGGGACAGACGCUCUCAUGAGAAGCACCCACUGCACGGCAGCCCCCCGAAGAUCCCAGCCCCGAGGGAAGGCACAGGGAGCAGAAACGGGCAGCGACCACGGGGCCUGUCUCCGCUUCAGGCCUCCCAGUACAUGAGAAUUCAUCGUUCUACUCACCAGUGACCGAAUGUGGCUCUGUUGCCAAAGCCAGCUCUCUCAUUGAGGUGGACAAGGAAACGGCCUGCGCGCACCGUCCGGAGCCCAGCAGCAGGUUGCCAAAGUAUUUCACAAAUACAGCUGACCUACACCUCCCACCCUCAAUGCAGUGUUACAGGAGCUAACCAGUGUAAACAAUAUCAGCCAUCUCCAAAUCACUGCUCAAGGCUCAAACCUCUGAAGUCACUUAUUAAUUCAUUUACUAGGAAUCCAUGGUUCAAUUUUCCAGGUAACUCUCCUACACUUUGUAAUAUUUAUUCUUUCUAAAUUGAUUUAUAAAAAAAAUUCUCUUCUAGAAGAUAAUUUGUGAGCUCUCGAGUCCCCUUUAGAAGAUGUAAAUUGCCAUCAGUCCCCAAACUUAAAUUAUGUGGACUUAUAGCAUUAACAAAUCAAGGUUAUGGUGUCUGAAUGGUUCUUCAAUAAUACUUUUUCCCUCUUCUAUAUUCUGUAAAAGUUGUUUAUGAGAUUGAACUUAAAAACAUCCUGGGUCAGACAAGUUCUGCUUAGCCUGGUAUUCUGCUCUCCCCAGAAUCAUCCAUCCCCCUUCUGCCUCCCUUCCACCUGCCCCAGAGAGUGAUGGAGCCCAAAGGAGAAAACCUGGCAUCACAAUGUCAGCCUGCAGGACCAAGGUCCUGUCUUCCCUUCCAGCUUUGCCAUCAACUUCCCAGUUGUAGCAGGGCUGGCAAAUGCUCUUACAGUAAAUGUUCAGAAAAGAUCAGCUGAGCAAUACCCUGGGUUUAGCCAGAAUUUGUGUGACAUGACAGGAGCACCCAGAAAGUGCCCCCAGAGCCCAAACCUGAGCACCUGGAGCAGCUGUGAGAGGUACUGGGUAAUGUGUCCUCCACACAUGACAGUGAGCUGCCAAAUGCUGGAAACCUCUUGUGUUCCCCCUUUUUUCAGACACAGCAAUUCCUUGAAUUGUUCAAAAUCAGAAGGAAUCAGAGCUCAGAAAUGGGUGCUGCAGGAAGAGUGUGAACAGGGCAAGCAAAUGUGGGGCUUUCCCCAGAGUGCUAUUCUAGUCUUGAAGCAUUUUCAUUCAGAAAAUUUCUUGAGCCUAAUUUAAUUUAUCUAUUCAGCAGUUUCCAGUGGAGAUAGAUUUUUCUUGAGGCUGUGUACAUGCCUUUUACCCUCUGCAGGAAAAGCCACAUCCUUUUGUUUGUACUGAACUGACUCCUCAUUCCUGAUGGCCUUUCCUUCUUGUACUGGAAGGACAGUGGACAAUGCCAUUCACAGCCCGUAGAGCUCUCCCACUCCUGAGUCACUCUUUCCCAGCCUGGAAAUCCCAGAAAUCCCAGUUUCCUCAAUCAUUCUCUGCAUGGCAGCCAUUGCCCUGUCUUGGCUCUCACCUUUUUAUUUGAAAUCAUUCCCCUGAGCAGGAACCUUUGUCCCUUCAUUGUUCAGUUUCCCUGGGGUGCUGAAUGGCACCUCCCAGCAGAGCAUCACUGGUGACACUGGAGACACUGGGACCCUGUUUGCCAUCCCUUAAUCAGGUACUUAUGCAUGCAAGGACCUUUUACCACAGCUGCUUCUUGUCCUGAAAGGCUUUUCCAUACAUGUUUUAAUCAAAGAUCCUUAAGAGGAAGCCUUGGUAAUGAGCAUUAGACAUGGAGCUCCAGCAUACCUUGAAAAAAUCCGCUCCGUGUGGAAUUUCCCAUUUCGGUUUGCGAAGAUCAAACAGCACAACAGCAACUCCUGAGCUGACAAGGGCACAUCCCAGAUUGUAUCCCAGGUAGCCUCCACCUCCUGUCACCAUUGUCCUGCUGCUCCUGGGAGCCAGCAGCCCAGCAGGCUCUGUCACUUGGCUCUCACAGGGUGGGCUGCUGUGGAGCUCUUCUGUGGAUCCCUCUGGCAUCACGACUGCAACAGAGAAGAUCUCUUGAAAAUUCCUGCAUAAUGCUUUGAGGUCUGGGUAAUUGCAAUUACUUUCACAUUACAAUGCUCCCAUCCUAGUUUUAUUAUCUUAGUAUGUUUGAAAUGUAAAAAUUCAUCAUUUUGGUGAUGGGUUUUCUAUGUAUAAUGUUUAAUGAGUCUGAAUACUUUCAUAUUCCAAGACUGAAUCUUUUCCUCAUAUCCCUAAAUUUCAUAUUAUAUAGAAAUGAAAUUACAGGAUUUUAGAGCCAUUAUAAUUACCUAACCUUAACAGCUAUGAUGACAUUUUUUAAUACUUGGUUUAAUCAAACAUUUUAUUCUUGAAAACUUAUUAACUUCUGAUAUAUUAAUACCAAAUUGAUGUUACUCUACUAGUCAGGAAAAUAAACCAAGACUUUAAAUGAGGCAUAUAAGAAAGGAUCCAUUCUAGUUUUAAAAUCAACUUUAUUUCACAUUUGGAUCUUUAGCAAUAAAAGUUUGUUACCAUUUUAAGCCUUUCUGGUUAUACAUGAAAUAUAUUUAGCUUACUGUCCAGUUCUCACUAACUUUUGACCAUAUUGUUCUCAGUAGGGCAUUCAUAGACAGCUAAACCAACAAGGGGCAGAAGAGAUAAGCCAUCUGCCCUGUGGGUUCAUCUAGCUGGAAAACUGAUUAGAAUAUCAUUCUAGGAUAACAACUCCAUGGGAGUUACCCAUCUGUACACCUUAUUCUGUAUUGCAAAUUAGUUUAUUCAACAUUAAUCACUUGUCCACAAAAUUUAAUUUUUCCACACAGAGCCCCUGUUGUCCUGAUUCCAUGCUUGGCCUUUGCACUUAGGCUUACACCCCCAAACAAAAAUCCAGAAGAAAUCUGCAAUCAGUCGUGUCACCAUAAAGUAGGAGCCCAGCUGGGUGCUUGCAGCCUAGUACAGGAAAAUGGACCCAAUCUCUGCAGGUUAUUUUGGUUUUCUCAUAGUUGGAGAGCUCCUCAUAUGAGAGGAGCCUCACAGGUAAGUACAGUUUGCUCUCAGCCAUUUACACCAGGCUUCAGCAGAGCCCAGGCAGAAAUGGGGCAGGGCUGGGAGCUGGCAGCUCUGUCACUUCCAGGGUGACAAAAAAAUUCUAGAAAAGUAACACAAAAUGCAGCCACAGCACACAAAAUUAUGGACUAUUUUAGCCAUUGCUUACUUAGUAUUUUAUAAUUUUGUUUGUGAUAUUCUCCUUAUUUUAUAUGUUUGGUUUCAGAUUUCAGACAGAAAAGGACCAUAUUCUCCAUGCUGUUACAUGGUUUUAACACCAAUGUCAGCUCACUCAAUUCACUAAACUGAGUGGUAUAAUAGUGUAAAACACAAGCUCCUUAUGUUGAAAAGCAUCCUAACAAUUUAAAAAUGAAAAAUAAUCUAUGUUUCCAAACAAAAUUUAAAUUACAACUAAUGUAAUACAACUAAAACAAGUAGGCUGUCCUGUUCAAGCAAGGAAACAUAAAUUUGUAUCUCUACAGUAAGUUUUUCAGGAGUUUUAAGCCAUUUAAAAUUCUUUUGCCUUCUCUUCUGAGAAAAAGCAUCUUUUUAUACACUGUAAGGAGAAGCAAAGUCAAGUUUAUCACUCUUCCUUAAAAAUCACUAAUAGCAUUAGUAUAUUAAUCUGCUUCAUAGAUGUAGAAAAUUGUUUUCAAAUUUUGAACAUAAACAAUUUUCUUUUUGAAAAUGCUUCUUUUUGGAAUCAGUAACUUUCUUUUUUUCUCUGAAUUUAUAGGAGCCAUUCUUAUUUAUUAAUGUAUUCUGCAUGAUGAGCAUAGUCACAUCUCAUGCAGCACAUGUAGUGUGAGUUGCUCAUAGCUCUCCUACUGUCAUUUCAAAUAUCAAAAAUGUUCUAAUUGUUUCCCAUAAAAAGUUAAAGUCAAACACAUCAGGUUUUUAAAAACAGCUAAAGAAGUAGUAAGUACCCUUGGUAGAAUCCUGCUGUCAGUGUCUCCCAGGCCUUCCUGUCCAGGUAGGAGGGUGAGAUGUCUGUGCUGGACAAUUCGUGACUCAAGGGCAUCAGGUGCUCUCAGGCAGACAGAGAAGUUCACGUGUGCUCAGGCCUUUUGCUGUUCCUGCUCCUUUGUAGCUGCUGGUGGGCUGGGAGCCAAAAAAGGGCAGGGCUUAAUAGGUACAUAAUUUACGUUCCUUUUCAGGAAAAAAAAAAUUAAAAAUUCUCCACAUCAAACCCUUCUUAACAGGAUGGUAGCUCUCACUUACCUGGUAAAAGUAUAAGACAGUGCCCAACACAAAAAUGCUGUGGGUACCAUCAUUCUGUAGAUAAACUACCAGAAGGAACAAAAAUCCUGUUUGCAGUGCUACUCAGCACUUUCAUCCUGACUUUUAUAUCUCCAUCCCCAACCCAAUUUUGUAUUUGCAGAGAGGCUUAACUGUAGGCACAUGGGUUGUCCUCUGGCUUCCAGGAUGAAUAUGAAGGUAAUAAACUACCUUGUACAUAAGAGGAAAAGGUGAUGUACUGUUAAAUAAAUGCAUUUUAGAUGAAUGAUGAAUUAAUGAAGUUAUUAAUGAUAUAUGUGCUCUGUCCUAAGAUUUUAAAGCACUUUUAAAACAUAUGCUUUUGCAAUUUAAACAAUGAGAAAUCAAAGCCAACAUUUUAAAAUGGGUGUGUCUAAAAUUAAGACUCAAAACAGUAGUUAAGAUGCUAAAGAAACACUCCCACAUCUAAAUAUAAAUUACUACAAUUUUCAAUGUUUGCAUGUUAGAAAUAUCUCAAGUUCAUAGGUAACCAGCUGCAAUUUAAAUGUAAUUUAAUGUUCAUGUGCUGACAAGAACUCAAACUGACACCUAGGCAAAUGUAUUUUCACAUAACGUGGAUGUUCUAAAGUCCCUACUGUUGGCAUUAGAACCAGAAUAUUGAACCUGUCAAAUUAAUCUGCACUUCUUGGAUUGCUGAGUGAGUGACAGGCUCAGCUCACAGGAAAAUCCCCAAGAACACCAAACUGUCUGUUUUGAGCUGAACCUAGCCCUGACAGCUUUUACCAUUUAAUGCAGUAAAUAAAAUGUUCAUUCUAUCCCUAAACUAUUCCAGAACUCCUUCAUAAGUCAAAGCAGCUUGUCAGCUUAUCCAAAGGAUAUCAAUCCCUCACUCUUCAGUGAAAUUUAACAAAGAGCAUUUGAACUUGGCCUUGGUUUCCACCUUGGCAAGAAGGGAACACCUCAGAGGACUUUUCAGAACUGGUAUUUUGCACCUGUCCUGUUAUGCCUGUUUUCUUACCUUUAGUAAAGAAGGAUGGUCAUAUUUUAUUCAAUGCAUCCUGCUAAGUAUUUCUGCAAAAAACAGAAGCUAAAGUUACAAGGAGAAAAGCUGCUGCAUUAAGACUGGAGCUUGCUUUUGGUCUUGAAUCACAACUCUAUACUGCCUUUUUCUCCUAUGACCAUUCAUAGUUCAUGUAGGCACAUAGAAACAAACAAAACAUCCAGUACUUACAGCAGAUGACUGUAAAAUACAGGAAGGUCUCAGGGAGUUUGUCCAUUUAUUUACAUGGAGGAGGUCCACAUUUCUGAAAUGUUGUUUGGCUUAUCAAAAUGUUACUCACAUCCAGACUGUAGAGUGAUGUUGAAAUGUAAUUGCACUGUUUCAUAGAGGAACCCAGUGUGCUUACACAAGUUCAUUUCAAAUCCAUGCUGCCAGAGCCAAGCCUGAAUUGAGUAAGGAGCAUUUGGCAUAAGACAGACAAGACAAUCUCUGUCCCCAGCAUACAAAGCCUGGUCCCUGUGCUGGCUCUGAACACUGCUGGGUACUGGACUCCAGAGGGUUUCAAACCAUGGCCCAGAAGGCAGAAGUGUGAGACCAGGUCUGUGUCCUGGUCACUGUGAACUUCACAGCUCUGCACUCCCAGGCCACAGAACAGGAGCUGUGCUCCAGCUGUGGGGUAACCUGAAGAAUGGUUUUCAAGUGUGGAGGAUCCAAUGCAGAAAGGAGACUUUAACAGAAUAACCAGAGCAUGAAGGGCUCAGCAGAGGCGUGAGUUAAGAUGACGGCCGGAUAUUUGGUGUGAGUCACAGGCAGGAUGGGAUGUUCUGGAGUGCCCAAGGGCAGAGGAAUAGCAGAAAAUCAGAAGAGACUAAGCUCUCUCUUAAACCUACUCAAGAACAGGGUUUUGCUGAAAUACCUGCCAUACAAAAGAUACCCUCUCUUCAGCUGACUUCCUAAAAAUUUCCUCAUCUAAGUCCUAAAUUGGUAGAGUUGUCCAAGCUUGCUGUGUUUGAGCUCCUGCUCAUGCUCUUGUUCACAUGAAGAUGCCCAUCAGAGGUGCUGACACAGCCUGUGAACUCAGAGUGGUGAGACUCGUUUGGACAGGGCACAGAGUGCUGAUUUCCUCUGCAGCCCCAGAGUAGUCUGGGCAGAGCUGUUGUAGGGUGUAAGUACUUUUGACUAAGGGAACUUAUCUCUUUGUGACUACAAAAACAACCACCCUCACAACAAGGACGUCUAAAACAGCAGAGAGCUGAGAGAAGGGAAGUGACAACAGUAAGAUAUUCACCCUUGAUGUGAGAGAGGAGAGAAAAUGUUAAAAAGCAUUUAAAUCAGGUCUUGCAAUGUUAAUGGAAGAGAAAAAGAGUAGAGCUCUCCUCUAAUUAUGUCUAGCUUAGCAUUUUUAGUCAAGAAUAUUAAUCAUGGGAUCUGAAUUUUGGAAAGGAAACUUCAGAAUAUUUUUCAUAUAACCAAAUGCUAACCAUUGGUACAUAGCAAACAUUUCUAAGGCAUGAAGUCAUCCUUAAGAAAGUUUACCAACACAAUAUUGAUGCAACAACAACAAAUGCAAAGUAAGACCCAAACUGUUAUGAUAACACAACAUUCUUCACAUUCCUUGCUAAAUUAGAGGAGUAAGACACAGAGGCAAAGCAACUUACCCAUGCCUUGCUCCAAGCCCAGGCCAGAAGGGAAAGGAAGAUGCAGAUCCUUAUUCCUCGCUGCAAAGCUACGAGAUCAGGUUCUUCUUAAAUCCCUCCAUUCUUCAUUAACAUACAUAAAUAUUCUCACUCUAGCCUUCCUUUUCCCUGUUUCUUUGUGUAUUUGUGUUACAGUUCUGCAUAUUUCACUGUUUCCUCAUGGAUGGAAUAAAGUACACAUAAAUACAGCCUUGCAACGUGCCCCAUAAAA